rnacentral:rRNA from 1 species
CCUACGGGUGGCAGCAGUAGGGAAUCUUCCACAAUGGGCGCAAGCCUGAUGGAGCAACACCGCGUGAGGGAAGAAGGGUUUCUGCUCGUCAAGCUCUGUUUUUGGAGAAGAACGUUCGUGAGAGUAACUGUUCACGCAUUGACGUUAUCCAACCAGAAAGUCACGGCUAACUACGUGCCAGCAGCCGCGGUAAUGCGUAGGGUGCAAGCGUUAUUCGGAUUUAUUGGGCGUAAAGCGAGCGCAGGUGGUUGCUUAGGUCUGAUGUGAAAGCCUUCGGCUUAACCGAAGAAGUGCAUCUGAAACCGGGCAACUUGAGUGCAGAAGAGGACAGUGGAAUUCCAUGUGUAGCGGUGGAAUGCUUAGAUAUAUGGAAGAACACCAGUGGCGAAGGCGGCUGUCUGGUCUGCAACUGACGCUGAGGCUCGAAAGCAUGGGUAGCGAACAGGAUUAGAUACCCCUGUAGUC